AGAAUCAACGCUGGCGGCGUGCCUAACACAUGCAAGUCGAACGAGAAAGGGUAGCAAUACCUGAGUAAAGUGGCGCACGGGUGAGUAACACGUGACUAACCUACCCUGGAGUGGGGGAUAACUGAGGGAAACCUUAGCUAAUACCGCAUAAUACCUACAGGUCAAAGGAGCAAUUCGCUUCAGGAGGGGUCGCGGCCGAUUAGUUAGUUGGCGGGGUAAUGGCCCACCAAGACGAUGAUCGGUA
rnacentral:rRNA from 1 species